rnacentral:rRNA from 1 species
UACGGAGGGGGCAAGCGUUAUCCGGAAUUACUGGGUGUAAAGGGAGCGUAGACGGUGAUGUAAGUCUGGAGUGAAAGGCGGGGGCCCAACCCCCGGACUGCUCUGGAAACUAUAUGACUGGAGUGCAGGAGAGGUGAGCGGAAUUCCUAGUGUAGCGGUGAAAUGCGUAGAUAUAUGGAAGAACACCAGUGGCGAAGGCGGCUCUCUGGUCUGCAACUGACGCUGAGGCUCGAAAGCAUGGGUAGCGAACAGG